GUGGGGAAUUUUGGACAAUGGGCGCAAGCCUGAUCCAGCAAUGCCGCGUGCAGGAAGAAGGCCUUCGGGUUGUAAACUGCUUUUGUACGGAACGAAACGGUCCGGGUUAAUACCCUGGGCUAAUGACGGUACCGUAAGAAUAAGCACCGGCUAACUACGUGCCAGCAGCCGCGGUAAUACGUAGGGUGCAAGCGUUAAUCGGAAUUACUGGGCGUAAAGCGUGCGCAGGCGGUUUUGUAAGACAGGCGUGAAAUCCCCGGGCUCAACCUGGGAAUUGCGCUUGGGACUGCAAGGCUGGAGUGCGGCAGAGGGGGAUGGAAUUCCGCGUGUAGCAGUGAAAUGCGUAGAUAUGCGGAGGAACACCGAUGGCGAAGGCAAUCCCCUGGGCCUGCACUGACGCUCAUGCACGAAAGCGUGGGGAGCAAACAGGAUUAGAAACCCGUGUAGUCC
rnacentral:rRNA from 1 species